rnacentral:misc_RNA from 1 species
GCUGGACCGGCCAAUGGACGUGCCGCGGCACUGUCAAGCAAGAAGCUCUAGUGUUGUUGUUAUUGUUGUCAUGUCUUCCUCCUCGUCAUGGACGUGGCGUUGCCGUCGAAGAGCUCGUCGAUGAUGGUCUCCACGUCCUCAGCGCUGAGCUUGACGUACUUCUCCGUCUGUCUCCCGGCGCUGAAGUGCUGCGCGAAGCGGCCGAGGAAGGAGCGGUAGGCCGGCACGACGACGGCGGCGAUGGAGACGCGCAGCUCCGACUGCAGCUGCUCGUCGCUGACGACCCAUGCGCCCUGCGUCCGGUGGAUCUCGUCCAUGGCGGCGUUGAACUGCUUGAACCGCUCCUUGAGCACCGGCUUCUGCACGUGGCCCUUCACCGUCAGCACGCCGUCGUCGCGGAGCAGCCCCAGCACGCGGCUCCACGCGUCCCGCUGGUAGUUCUUGUGGUACUGCCGCAGGUUGGUCGACUGCUUCCGCGCCCACGCCUCGCCCAGCAUCGCGUUGGUCUCCGCCGACCCGCGGAUCUUCUGCAGCAUGUACCGCCCGUUGUUCAUCAGGAAGAUGUUGCUCAGCGACGGGUCCUUGUACAGCCGCGACUUGGCCUCCAGGUUGCCGUGCAGCAGCUCCAUCACCUCCAUCAGCUGCGCCGCGAACGGGUUGCCGCCGUCGUCGCCGCCGCCGCCGCCGUCGUGGUGCUCACGGAACACCUGCUCCAGCGUGCUGUUGUACUCGCACGCGUACUUGAGGUAGUUCAUCACGUAGCGGGUCAGCGGGUGCACCGCGCCGCCGGGCACCGGCUGCUUGCCGGCGUCGGCGCGGAUCGAACUCUCCAGCUCGCGGAAGAUGGCGGCGGCGGACUCGCCGAGCCGGGACCGCACGGCGGCGAUCUCGGACUUGAGCUCCGCCAGGCCGGAGUGGCUGUGCUCGGCGGCCGGCUCGUCGGCGGAGAGGAAGGCCUCGAUGACCGGUGACGCGUCGCGGACCGCCUCG